rnacentral:rRNA from 1 species
GGGGGGGACGAGCGUUGUUCGGAUUUACUGGGCGUAAAGGGCGCGUAGGCGGACUUUCAAGUCGGAAGUGAAAACCGGAGGCUUAACCUCAGGCUUGCUUUCGAUACUGUCAGUCUUGAGUACAGAAGAGGAAAGCGGAAUUCCAGGUGUAGCGGUGAAAUGCGUAGAUAUUCUGGAAGAACACCAGUAGCGAAGGCGGCUUUCUGGUCUGAUACUGACGCUAAAGCGCGAAGGCUAGGGGAGCAAACAGGAUUAGAUACCCUGGUAGUCCUAGCGGUAAACGAGGGGUACUAGGUGUCGGGGGUAUCGACCCCCUCGGUGCCGAAGCUAACGCAUUAAGUACCCCGCCUGGGGAGUACGACCGCAAGGUG